rnacentral:rRNA from 1 species
UACGGGGGGAGCAAGCGUUGUUCGGAUUUACUGGGCGUAAAGGGCGCGUAGGCGGCCACCGCAAGUCGACUGUGAAAUCUCCGGGCUUAACUCGGAAAGGUCAGCCGAUACUGCGGGGCUAGAGUGCAGAAGGGGCAACUGGAAUUCUCGGUGUAGCGGUGAAAUGCGUGGAUAUCGAGAGGAACACCUGCGGCGAAGGCGGGUUGCUGGGCUGACACUGACGCUGAAGUGCGAAAGCUAGGGGAGCGAACGGG